rnacentral:rRNA from 1 species
UGAGGAAUAUUGGUCAAUGGACGCAAGUCUGAACCAGCCAUGCCGCGUGCAGGAUGACGGCUGUAUGAGUUGUAAACUGCUUUUGUACUAGGGUAAACGCAGAUACGUGUAUCUGUCUGAAAGUAUCGUACGAAUAAGGAUCGGCUAACUCCGUG